AUUGAACGCUGGCGGCAGGCCUAACACAUGCAAGUCGAACGAGUGGCGGAAGGGUGAGUAAUGUCUGGGAAACUGCCAGAUGGAGGGGGAUAACUACUGGACACGGUAGAUAAUACCGCAUAACAUCGGCUGUGCCACGAUGGGCUUAGCUAGUAGGUGUGGUAACGGCUCACCUGGGCGACGAUCCCUAGCUGGUCUGCGAGGAUGACCAGCCACCCUGGAACUGAGCCCCGGUCCAGACUCCUACGGGAGCCAGCAGUGGGGGAUAUUACACAAUGGGCGCAAGCCUGAUGCAGCCAUGCCGCGUGUAUGAAGAAAUCCUUCUGGUUGUAUAGUACGUUCAGCGAGGAGGCGUUGCUCGCAGAAAAGGCAACGGCUAACUCCGUACCAGCAGCCGCGGUAAUUC
rnacentral:rRNA from 1 species